UCCGUGCCAGCAGCCGCGGUAAUACGGAGGAUCCAAGCGUUAUCCGGAAUCAUUGGGUUUAAAGGGUCCGCAGGCGGCCUGUUAAGUCAGAGGUGAAAUCCUACAGCUCAACUGUACAACUGCCUUUGAUACUGAUAGGCUUGAGUUAUUGUGAAGUGGUUAGAAUGUGUGGUGUAGCGGUGAAAUGCUUAGAUAUCACACAGAAUACCCAUUGCGAAGGCAGAUCACUAACAAUAUACUGACGCUCAUGUACGAAAGCGUGGGGAGCGAACGGGAUUAGAUACCCCGGUAGCCACGCCGUAAACGAUGGAUACUAACUGUUCGACCUUCGGUUGAGUGGUCAAGCGAAAGUGAUAAGUAUCCCACCUGGGGAGUACGCUCGCAAGAGUGAAACUCAAUGAAUUGACG
rnacentral:rRNA from 1 species